rnacentral:rRNA from 1 species
UACGUAGGGUGCAAGCGUUAAUCGGAAUUACUGGGCGUAAAGCGUGCGCAGGCGGUUUCGUAAGUCUGUCGUGAAAGCCCCGGGCUUAACCUGGGAAUGGCAUUUGGGACUGCAAGGCUUGAGUGCGGCAGAGGAGACUGGAAUUCCUGGUGUAGCAGUGAAAUGCGUAGAUAUCAGGAGGAAUACCGAUGGCGAAGGCAGGUCUCUGGGCUGACACUGACGCUCAUGCACGAAAGCGUGGGGAGCAAACAGG